GCCAGACUCCUACGGGAGGCAGCAGUGGGGGAUAUUGCACAAUGGGGGGAACCCUGAUGCAGCGACGCCGCGUGGGUGAAGGAGCGUUUCGGCGCGUAAAGCCCUAUCGGCAGGGAAGAAGGAGGACGGUACCUGACUAAGAAGCCCCGGCUAACUACGUGCCAGCAGCCGCGGUAAUACGUAGGGGGCAAGCGUUAUCCGGAUUUACUGGGUGUAAAGGGGGCGCAGACGGCGAUGCAAGCCAGGAGUGAAAGCCCGGGGCCCAACCCCGGGACUGCUCUUGGAACUGCGUGGCUGGAGUGCAGGAGGGACAGGCGGAAUUCCUGGUGUAGCGGUGAAAUGCGUAGAUAUCAGGAGGAACACCGGUGGCGAAGGCGGCCUGCUGGACUGCAACUGACGUUGAGGCCCGAAAGCGUGGGGAGCAAACAGGAUUAGAUACCCCGGUAC
rnacentral:rRNA from 1 species